rnacentral:misc_RNA from 1 species
AAGUCGUAACAAGGUUUCCGUAGGUGAACCUGCGGAAGGAUCAUUAACAAAUAAUCCAAACAUGGGUUAUAAUAAUCCAUCCACCUUUUGUGCACCGUAACUUGUCCAUUGCUUUUUUCCUAUUUGGAUAUGUUUUUAUUGGUCUAUUGAUUAAUAGAAGCAGCCAGAUAGGAAAGGGCAAAUACUAAACAUCUAUAUUUUUACGUUAUGUUGUCUGAAGUAUACACCUUUUUUGCGAAAGCAAAAAUAUUUUACUAAAACAACUUUCAACAACGGAUCUCUUGGCUCCC